GACAGAGGGGGGAAGCGUUGUCCGGCGUUACUGGGCGUAAAGGGCGCGGAGGCGGUCUGCGGCGUCGGCGCUGAAAGCGCCCCGCUUAACGGGGCGAGGCGUGCCGAUACGCGCAGACUUGAGGCGAGCAGAGGGUGGUGGAAUUCCGGGUGGAGCGGUGAAAUGCGUAGAGAUCCGGAGGAGCGCCAGUGGGGAAGCCGGCCACCUGGGCUCGUCCUGACGCUGCGGCGCGACCGCGUGGGGAGCAAACCGG
rnacentral:rRNA from 1 species